GGUCACUAGAGGAGUAUGGCUUUAUGUCUCCCUCUGCUCUCUUGGGUGGCAGCUUCCUGGCUGGAGCUGAUGGUGAAGACACAGGCAAGUCUCUCUUAUAGCCUGUACAUCAGCAGGAGUGCGUGGGGGAAGCCUUGCAAUUAAAGCAGGUCAUGGAAAUGAACCGCCUCUUAGUGCAUGACACCAGCUGAAGCUGACUAUUCUUUGAUUGUUCCUUUCCUGGCCAUGGAGGAGUCAUAUCUGUUGUUCAAAUACAUUUGUCUCCAUUCACCUCAAUAUUCUAUGACUGGAAAUGGAAGGGCUGACUGCAC